rnacentral:tRNA from 1 species
AGUAAAGUGGCCGAGAAUAGGUGAUAAAUUGUAAAUUUAUAGAUGAAAUUAAGUUUUCCUUUACUAU